GUUGUUGACAGAAGAUAGAGAGCACAGAUGAUGGUGUGCAAUUAGGAGUCUUGAAGCAAUGCAUCCCACUCCUUUGUGCUCUUUAUGCUUCUGUCAUCACC
rnacentral:pre_miRNA from 1 species